rnacentral:rRNA from 1 species
UGGGGAAUCUUGGACAAUGGGCGCAAGCCUGAUCCAGCCAUGCCGCGUGGAUGAUGAAGGCCUUAGGGUUGUAAAAUCCUUUCGCCGAGGACGAUAAUGACGGUACUCGGAGAAGAAGCUCCGGCUAACUUCGUGCCAGCAGCCGCGGUAAUACGAAGGGGGCUAGCGUUGUUCGGAUUUACUGGGCGUAAAGGGCGCGUAGGCGGCAAUUCAAGUCAUCUGUGAAAUCUCCGGGCUUAACUCGGAACGGUCAGAUGAUACUGUCACACUAGAGUACAGAAGGGGCAAUCGGAAUUCUUGGUGUAGCGGUGAAAUGCGUAGAUAUCAAGAGGAACACCUGAGGCGAAGGCGGUUGCUGGGCUGAUACUGACGCUGAGGCGCGAAAGCUAGGGUAGCAAACGGGAUUAGAUACCCAAGUAGUCCCUGAGCGGGCUGGCAAGGCGCAU